ACUAGAGCCCGAUGACUGAAUUCACACCCCGUUUCCAGGCUGAAUUUUUAGCUAUAAAAAUCACCACUCACGGUAGUGCUUGGGUUACAAACUGGGCUGUUUUCAUUCAAGACACAUCCUUUGCUCUUUAUUCCAUUCCUCACGUCACUCAGUGGCAAACUAUUUAACGCAACAUAAUUCACCUGUCUAAAGCACCUAAAAGCCAAGUACCUGACUCUGAUGUGUACCCCAGACAGGAGCAGGGUCCCCCCGCGACACAAACCCAAGCCGAGCUCCGGUGCAGCAGCAGAGGCCGACCUAGGGCUGAGCGGGCAGCACCGAACAGACUGCCGGGGCUGCUGCUCCGGCCUGACGGGAUCACGGGCGUGAUGGAUGUUGGCGCUGCAGCUGCUCGUGCUUUUGGACAAGUCACUGAACAUCUCUGAACUGUUGUUUUGGUUUUUAUUUUUAUUUUGUAAGAGAAAAUUAAAUGUCCAAAGCCACGCUCGCCCAUCCCGGUAAAGAAUACCACACAUACAGAUAGCCCGAGUUCCGCUGCUCGCCCCCCUUCGCCCGCCCCCGGCCGCCUUCAUCUGCCCACAGCGCAGCCGGGCCUCGCCAUGCGGCGCAGCGCCCGGCCCGCGCGGCACCGCGAAAUGGCGGACCGCCCCUCCAGCCGUGCCUCCUACCGCCUUCCCCAGCUUCCAGCUCGCGGCAGCGGCGGGAGGAUGAUCCGGCCCCCCUGCGGGCGGCGGGGCGGGGCGGGGAUGGGAUAGAGCAGGAGCGGCUCUGCAGGACCGCCACGGCACCACCCGACAUGGCGGCGAUGGCUGCCCCUCAGCGCGGGCGAGCAGGGCGGGCCCGGGGCGGGGCCUGCGGAGCCCAUAAAGCGCCUCGCGCGGGCCCUCGCGGCCUCUUUCUCCGCAGCGGCCGAGGUGCGUAGAGGUACUGGUGGGCUGGGCGGAUCUGGGAUUCCCCUCUGCCCCUUCCUGGGUGGGUGGCCGGGCCUCUGCGGGCGGCCCGGGGCGUCUCCGUGCCCGCCCGCCCGACCGCUGAGGCAUCCGCCCGUUCCGUGUGAUCGCCUCGCUCCCGCUCGGCCUCGGGUCUUAUCCCCAAGGGCCCCUCACCGGGCUCCGGCCGCUCUUCCCUGGAAGGUCACACGGAGCUUCCCCGGACGUGUCCAGGCGUUCGCUGGUAGAGGUGAUGACUCUUUCCCCGUCAGAGCGACAGUGUUGACUACCGCUGUCCAAGCCAGGGCGCGGCAGAGCCCAAGGCGCCGGCGGGAGCCCCGUGCCCCACGCCAGGCCGGCGAUGAGGGCACUUCCGCGGCGUGCGCCGGCAGGCCCGAGCCCCUGCCAGGGCCCAGCGGGCACUGUGAAGGCAGAAGUGGGGCUGAGCCUUGGGGAGACCUGAAGUUAAGGCUGCAGCUGACAGUGAAGAAGUGUGUGAUGUGGGCAGUUGUCUGGUUUGCUCCAUCAUGCCUGAACCUCUAGCACAUAAUGGUUGAGACUUAUAAGAAGUUGUCCUGGGCCCUCCGGGGGUUUCAGUGCUCUGCUAAAGAAGAUGGAUGGUUCUGCUGCUCCCAUGCUGCUGCCUGGGAUCCUCAUCCAAGCCACAGCAUUCACAUCACCCUGCGACAGCUCUGGUCUUUCCUCAGAGCUGUCAGGCGUGAUGAAUUUGUCUCCUGCCAACAGAUAGAGGGUGUUACAUUUUUUGUCCCCUGGGUACAAGGCAUGUAACUGGAAUGUAUGCUGGAACUUGCUGCAUGUUUAAUGCAGUUGGAUGCUUUUGUCUGCAGGGGCUGCAUUCCUUGCCUGGAAUGUUAUCCUGCCACAGUCAUUAAAGGCAAGGAAAAUGCUCCUUGGAGCAGUUGUCAGGUUGGGAGGAUGGCCUUGUGUGUAAGGAAAGGAGUCAGGGCUUGAUUCUCCCCUGCCAAUCCAGAAAGCUUUAGUGGUGUAUCCCUGGCAGUCUGUGAAGAGGGCAAGGGGUGUCUGGAUGCUGCAGCACAGUGUGUUUCUGUACUGUUGAGAGCCUGUUUUUAAUAAAAUCUGAGCACUGGGUGAAUUUGGCUGGUGACUGAAAUUCUCUUGACCCACGUUUAACAGCUCAUUCCUGGAUCUCCCAAUUGUUUGGGGAGUUGGAGAGCACAGCAACAGUGUGCUGCUGUGAGUGAUAAUGGAGCUGCCUGCUGCCUCAAGCCAGGAGAUGAGGCAUGAUCUCAUGGAACAGAGCUCCACACACCCUGGAGUAGAAGUGCUUGGCUGAGGCUGUGGCUGCUGCUGUGCUGCAGGUAUCACGAGGGCAGGCUGUGCUCAGCCACUGGACAAGGGUGGUCCCUCAGUUAAAUAAAACAGUUCCAGUGGUUUUGGGAGGGGACUUUUUGAUGUCUGAGCUGACAGUGGCCUUUGCCAUGUAUGCUUGUUAGGAAACAGCAAUGAUGGAAAGUCGACUACUAUUCAGCAUUCAAAGGAGUCUUCAAUUUAAUUGAAUCGAGAUUUUUCUCAUUCAAUUAAUGUAAGCAGUGUGAUCUCUUGAAACUACAUAUUGAUGAGGGACCAGAACUGCUGCUAGUAUAAUUACUUCAUUAAUGUAAUGAGCAGACCUACCAGCAAACAUCCUGUAGGGAGGAGAGAGUGCUGCUUGUCCAGUGGGAGCUGGAGGCACAGAUGCAGCUUAAACAUGUUCUUGGCAUGUUUUACUACCUCUGCAAGAACAGUUGCUCAGGUCGGGUUUCAGACUGUUGCUAUUGCACGCACGCAUCAGGAUGCAAUUUCAAACUGUUGGUAGGGUGCUAAUCCCAGGCAGCCCCUGACUGCUGGGGGCAGGGUCUGGGUUCCUGGGAGCUCGGUUUGGGUUCCUGGGGGCGCAGGGUCUGGGUUCCUGGGGGCGCAGGGUCUGGGUUCCUGGGGGGCAGAGUCUGGGUUCCUGGGAGCUGGGUCUGGGUUCCUGGGAGCUGGGUCUGGGUUCCUGGGGGGCAGGGUCUGGGUUCCUGGGGGCGCAGGGUCUGGGUUCCUGGGGGGCAGAGUUUGGGUUCCUGG
ensembl:lncRNA